rnacentral:rRNA from 1 species
UACAGAGGGUGCAAGCGUUAAUCGGAAUUACUGGGCGUAAAGCGUGCGCAGGCGGCUUUGCAAGACAGAUGUGAAAUCCCCGGGCUCAACCUGGGAACUGCAUUUGUGACUGCAAGGCUAGAGUACGGCAGAGGGGGAUGGAAUUCCGCGUGUAGCAGUGAAAUGCGUAGAUAUGCGGAGGAACACCAAUGGCGAAGGCAAUCCCCUGGGCCUGUACUGACGCUCAUGCACGAAAGCGUGGGAAGCAAACAGG